UGAGGAAUAUUGGGCAAUGCCCGCAAGGGUGACCCAGCAACGCCGCGUGGAGGAUGAAUGUCGUAAGAUUGUAAACUCCUGUUAGAGGGGAAGAAUAGUACCGGUUGGACCGGUAUAUGACUGUACCCUCAGAGAAAGCCCCGGCUAACUACGUGCCAGCAGCCGCGGUAAUACGUAGGGGGCAAGCGUUGUCCGGAUUUACUGGGUGUAAAGGGCGCGCAGGCGGGAUAAAAAGUCAGUGGUGAAACCCUACAGCUUAACUGUAGAACUGCCUUUGAUACUUUUAUUCUUGAGUUCGGGAGAGAGAGACGGAAUUCCAGGUGUAGUGGUGAAAUACGUAGAUAUCUGGAAGAACACCAGUUGCGAAGGCGGUCUCUUGGUCCGACACUGACGCUGAGGCGCGAAAGCGUAGGGAGCAAACA
rnacentral:rRNA from 1 species